CUGGGCCAGAUGACCUCCAGAGGUUCCUUUCAAUCCCUCUGUGUUUCUAUGUCAUUCUGUGAAAACCAGUUGAAAUGGUGUGGAACAGAGCUAGGGAGCAAGCUAAAAAUUAAAUCAUGCAGAUGACGGGACAUCCUUCAGGCCUUCAGGCUACUCCUUAGACCUCCUGCUUUUUGCAGUAUAAAGAGUGUCUUAACUACAAUUUGCUCAUAUGCUCAGACUGGGACAGAACUUUUUCUUUUAUGUCCUUCUCCCCUUCUCUCAUUAGGGGUGAGCUCUUUCAUAUGAUAUCAGGGGUCCUGAAAUGACAGAAGGAAGAAGAUGCUCUCCCACCACAGAACAGAAGACUGGAGACAGGAGAAGAGGGUCUGCUGCAAGCCAACUUGUUCCAUUUCCUUUAUGUUGCACUCAAGAUCUGUGGUGUACAGGUUUCCAACGUGUGGUUACUUUGACUUUACUCUGAAAUAUCCCUUACAAGAAUUCCAUGGCAAUGUUACCUUGACGAAAACAAAUGUCCAAGAUCUUAAAUCACAUGGUAUGUACUGUAGCAGGCAGUGCUGGGCUAUGCUGAAGGACAAGAAAGACAUCUUUACAGAUACAGAUCUUUUUUAUGUUCCAGUGUUUAUUUCUCUAACCCCAUCUGGAAACAAAAGAAAAUAAACUCAGGCAACAACAUCUGUUGCUCCUGCUGCUCUGAAUUAAGCUAACUUAGUUUAAUCAUUUCACAAAAUCAAACACUAUUGCUCUACCUUUCCAGGUGUUUUCCUGACUCAUAGACUGACACUUCAGUUUGGCUCACUAGUUCUUCUCAUAAACUAUUCAAAUCUUAUUAAUUACCAUGAAAUCUAGACAACCUUUAAUUUCUCUUUUGGCAGAAAGAAGUAUACAGUCUACUGUGGAUGCUCUACUUAAAAUAAAAAAUAAAUAAAUAAAUAAAUAAAUAAAAAG
rnacentral:lncRNA from 1 species